rnacentral:lncRNA from 13 species
AGGCGCCGGUUUUGCUGGGUCACAGAGCAAGGGAGAUGUUCCCCGCCCGGAGCAAGGGAGGGUUUGGAGCUGCUUUGCCCCGUGCGCCUCUCGGAGCAUCUGCAAAUGGCCCAAAUUGCUCCCAAAUGAUCACCCUGGGGGGAUCUCAGCCCUCGCUGGCUCCUGCCGAGGUGCUGGGUCUGUGCCAGAGCCGGCUGGGCACAGGCUCCUCUGGGGAUGCUGGUGCUGGAAAGAGGGCCAGGUGGAAAAGCGGGGCCUGGCUGGCCCUGCUGGAGGUUCGAGGCUGUUUUCUGUCACUUUGCAGCUGGCGGGUUUGUUGGGGUGUACAGGCGGGGGAUCUGUGACCCUGAUGGUGUGGGGAACUGGAAAUAGGGGAAAUUUUGGGGUCCCCUUCAGAGUCAGGGUGUCAAAGCGUUGGGAGAAAACACCUGGGCACAGGAGAAGCUGGAAAAUGUUCUGGAAAAGGUGCUCAUGCUGAAGGGCUCCCCCCAAAUAUGGGAAGUGCCCUCAGCUCCUUCCAGCCCCCAAACUGGUUUUGGGGGAUCGUGGGGCCGUGAUGGGGGCUCAGGGCUUCCCAGGAAAGCACCACCGCUGGGACUCUGCUGCGAGCUCGUUAAAGCUCUACCAGCCCCUGCUGCAAACCAGUUAAACCCAUUUAGGGAAGGGUUAAGCCAGUUCAGUGUGAUUUGGGAGUCCAUUGAUGCCGAGGUUAAUCUGCUGUAAGUGCAUCAACAUCGGGGAUUUGAACCAAUUUAACUGUUCCAGCUCCAGGUUUUCCCUGGAGGACUUCGGGAAGGGUCCAGCCCGUGCCCUCCUUUGUCCCAGGCUUCAGAGAGCCUUGGGAAGAGGGAGAAAAUAAACCAGCGACUGAAAGGAAGGACCUCAUGCAGGCUGAAUCUGAAACGCUGCUAUUUUUAGCCCAUCCCUGCCCAGCCGGCCUGAAUUCCACGCGGGUCCCGGUGCCCAGCUGGCACAGGCGAGCGGCAGGGUGGGCAGCGAAACCCUCCCGGUCCAUCCCAGUUCGCCGGGGCGGCUCGUGGGACCAGGCUGAGCCCGAGCUGAGUCAGAGCAGAGGAUGCUCCUUCCUCAUCCCAGCUCCUCAUUAUCCCGCUGCCCCAGGGCUUUCCCACGAGCCUCAUCCAGCCGGGCCGUGGGACCUGGAAGAGGUGUUGGAUUUUGGAGUUGCUUCGAUGCUCUGUUCACUGGACCCUCGGGGGAAACUGAGGCAUAGAGGUACGACCUAUAAAUAUUCGGAUUUUUUCCCAAAUCAGAGGAAAAUGAUGGAUUAUUGAAAGAAGAGAUGAGCUGGGCUGAUGCUUGCGGAUCUUGCCGGGAGUGCAGGGUGCGUUUUCAUCUCUCAGCAAUACUUUUGCUGAAUAAAUCCUUAUUUUCCAGAGCUGGCGAGGACGGCCUCGAGUUUUUCAUGGCUUCGACGGCGACUUAAAAGUUUUAUCCAGCCUCAAACUGGGAGGAAAAAAAAAACCCCAAACCUCCCACGGCUUCCUUGUCACGGGGCUGGGGACACCGGUGUCACCUCGGUGUCACCUCGGUGUCACCUCGGUGUCCCCGCGGGCCAUUCCUGCCUGGGGACAGCUGAGGCCGCUUAGCCAAAAGGGAUGGGAGCGAGCUUCAGAUUCCAAGGAAAAGGUAAACCGGCCCUUUUUGUGCCUCGGGGAAGAGGAAUGAAACCCCGAGGCGCGGGCUGAGCACGGCACUGCUUUAUCUGGAUUUCACAUCAACAGGAAGCCGGCUCCGGGGCGGAGGGGGGCGAAAUUCCCAACAAUGCUUUCCUGGGAAGUAAAAGCAGGAUUGUGAGGAACUUUCCGGGUGGAAUUCUGCUCGGGAAGUGACUGCUCCGCGUUAAAUAAACAAAGAGCUGGAGGCUCUGCACGUGUGGGGGAGCUCUGAGAGCUCCUCACGCUCAGCUGAUGGUCACGGGGAGCCUCGAAAAAUUUCUAUUUUUGCCUGACCUCGAUCCUAAAACUCCCGGGCGAAUAUUUGGGCGGCGGUUUCUGGGCCACGGGGGAGUGCCCAGGUGGGAUAUGCUGAGGGGGUUUUGCCUCCCUUUCCCUCUCAGAGCCGCAUUUGUGGCCCCGUGGCUCAGCCCGGGUGGAAGUUGGCUCCCAGCUCGGGUGAUUUGGCUUUCGCAGGUGCUUUGUUGCUGUUAAAACGAGCCCCAGGCUUCUCCUUUCCUCCCCUGCCUUUUAUUAAGAGCUUCUUCACCUCUGAUGUUAACAGGAAAAUAAUUUCCUCACCAACAUCUCGGUUUCGCCAACUCCGAGAGGUAUUUCAGCAGCUUUUGGAGCUGUUUGCUGAGGAUAAAAAUGCAAAAUAUAUUUAUUUUUGUAUCUCUCUUUAAAUAUCUGCUCCCAAAUGGAUUCUGGGGAUGUUGGGACUGCAGCACUUUUCUUCCUUGGGAUUCACGUCGAUUCAAUUCAUUAAAUUCAUCUUGUGCCGG